rnacentral:misc_RNA from 1 species
UGGUUACUUUGAUCGGACAAACUAGAUCAAGCCCAUCCUUUAUUUCCCAUUCAAAACCUAAAAAGGACAGAAAACCCUAAAAAUUAUCUUUGCUCUUUCCCCUUUGCGCAGUAUCUCCUCAUUCCCUUCUCCCUGUGCAUACUCUCUGGCCAAUGAAACUGAUGAAGCGGCCACCUGGUUUAGGAGACCACCAGUCGGAGCAGCCGCACCUCUCCACGAAACUCUCAUUCCUCCUCCGCUCUACCCGUUGCCUUCUCUUCCGUUUCCUUUCCUUCUCUCAUUUCUCCUUUUUCCAGCGAGCAACCAAGAACCACCAGUCCCAGUGACUAAGAUCAUUGGUCUUCCUCUUCUCCUUUAGUUGCCCCUCUCUUCUCCUCUCUCCUCUAUUCUAGCGACAACAACAACAUAAGAGUAGCAGCCACCAACGAACAACAAAACCACUGAUAUCCGUGGAGACCACCAACUUUGCAAGAGAAACCAAAAGUGGAAAGCUCCGACGAGGCAAGCCAUGCGAACAACAGAAGCCAAGCGCCACCCCGCUUACCUCUUCUUUGG